rnacentral:rRNA from 2 species
UCCUACGGGAGAAAGCAGGGGACCUUCGGGCCUUGCGCUAUCAGAUGAGCCUAGGUCGGAUUAGCUAGUUGGUGAGGUAAUGGCUCACCAAGGCGACGAUCCGUAACUGGUCUGAGAGGAUGAUCAGUCACACUGGAACUGAGACACGGUCCAGACUCCUACGGGAGGCAGCAGUGGGGAAUAUUGGACAAUGGGCGAAAGCCUGAUCCAGCCAUGCCGCGUGUGUGAAGAAGGUCUUCGGAUUGUAAAGCACUUUAAGUUGGGAGGAAGGGUUGUAGAUUAAUACUCUGCAAUUUUGACGUUACCGACAGAAUAAGCACCGGCUAACUCUGUGCCAGCAGCCGCGGUAAUACAGAGGGUGCAAGCGUUAAUCGGAAUUACUGGGCGUAAAGCGCGCGUAAGUGGUUUGUUAAGUUGGAUGUGAAAUCCCCGGGCUCAACCUGGGAACUGCAUCCAAAACUGGCAAGCUAGAGUAUGGUACAGGGUGGUGGAAAUUCCUGUGUAGCGGAGGGAUGGGUA